UUAAGUUAAUAAGGGCGCACGGUGGAUGCCUUGGCACUAGAAGCCGAUGAAGGACGUGACUAACGACGAAAUGCUUUGGGGAGCUGUAAGUGAGCAAUGAUCCAGAGAUGUCCGAAUGGGGGAACCCGGCAGGUAAUGCCUGUCACUCAUUACUGUUAAGGUAAUGUAGAGGAAGACGCAGUGAACUGAAACAUCUAAGUAGCUGUAGGAAGAGAAAGCAAAAGCGAUUGCCUUAGUAGCGGCGAGCGAAACGGCAAGAGGGCAAACCGAAGAGUUUACUCUUCGGGGUUGUAGGACUGCAACGUGGACUUAAAGAUUAUAGAAGAACUACCUGGGAAGGUAGGCCAAAGAGAGUAAUAGCCUCGUAUUCGAAAUAGUCUUUAUACCUAGCAGUAUCCUGAGUACGGCGAGACACGAGAAAUCUCGUCGGAAUCUGGGAGGACCAUCUCCCAACCCUAAAUACUCUCUAGUGACCGAUAGUGAACCAGUACCGUGAGGGAAAGGUGAAAAGCACCCCGGGAGGGGAGUGAAAUAGAACCUGAAACCGUGUGCCUACAACAAGUUCGAGCCCGUUAAUGGGUGAGAGCGUGCCUUUUGUAGAAUGAACCGGCGAGUUACGAUAUGAUGCGAGGUUAAGUUGAAGAGACGGAGCCGUAGGGAAACCGAGUCUUAAUAGGGCGCAUUAGUAUCAUGUCGUAGACCCGAAACCAUGUGACCUACCCAUGAGCAGGUUGAAGGUGAGGUAAAACUCACUGGAGGACCGAACCAGGGCACGUUGAAAAGUGCUUGGAUGACUUGUGGGUAGCGGAGAAAUUCCAAACGAACUUGGAGAUAGCUGGUUCUCUCCGAAAUAGCUUUAGGGCUAGCGUCGAUGUUAAGUCUCUUGGAGGUAGAGCACUGUUUGGGUGAGGGGUCCAUCCCGGAUUACCAAUCUCAGAUAAACUCCGAAUGCCAAUGAGAUAUAAUCGGCAGUCAGACUGCGAGUGCUAAGAUCCGUAGUCGAAAGGGAAACAGCCCAGACCACCAGCUAAGGUCCCAAAAUAUAUGUUAAGUGGAAAAGGAUGUGGGGUUGCACAGACAACUAGGAUGUUAGCUUAGAAGCAGCUAUUCAUUCAAAGAGUGCGUAAUAGCUCACUAGUCGAGUGACCCUGCGCCGAAAAUGUACCGGGGCUAAAACAUAUUACCGAAGCUGUGGAUACCUUUAUAGGUAUGGUAGGAGAGCGUUCUAUGUGCGAAGAAGGUGUACCGUGAGGAGUGCUGGAGCGCAUAGAAGUGAGAAUGCCGGUAUGAGUAGCGAAAGACAGGUGAGAAUCCUGUCCACCGUAAGACUAAGGUUUCCAGGGGAAGGCUCGUCCGCCCUGGGUUAGUCGGGACCUAAGGAGAGACCGAAAGGUGUAUCCGAUGGACAACAGGUUGAUAUUCCUGUACUAGAGUAUAUAGUGAUGGAGGGACGCAGUAGGCUAACUAAACCAGACGAUUGGAAGUGUCUGGCCAAGCAGUGAGGUGUGAUAUGAGUCAAAUGCUUAUAUCUUUAACAUUGAGCUGUGAUGGGGAGCGAAGUUUAGUAGCGAAGUUAGUGAUGUCACACUGCCGAGAAAAGCUUCUAGCGUUAAUUAUACUCUACCCGUACCGCAAACCGACACAGGUAGUCGAGGCGAGUAGCCUCAGGUGAGCGAGAGAACUCUCGUUAAGGAACUCGGCAAAAUGGCCCCGUAACUUCGGGAGAAGGGGCGCUGACUGAUGGUCAGCCGCAGUGAAUAGGCCCAAGCAACUGUUUAUCAAAAACACAGCUCUCUGCUAAAUCGUAAGAUGAUGUAUAGGGGGUGACGCCUGCCCGGUGCUGGAAGGUUAAGAGGAGUGCUUAGCGUAAGCGAAGGUAUGAAUUGAAGCCCCAGUAAACGGCGGCCGUAACUAUAACGGUCCUAAGGUAGCGAAAUUCCUUGUCGGGUAAGUUCCGACCCGCACGAAAGGCGUAAUGAUUUGGGCACUGUCUCAACGAGAGACUCGGUGAAAUUUUAGUACCUGUGAAGAUGCAGGUUACCCGCGACAGGACGGAAAGACCCCAUGGAGCUUUACUGCAGUUUGAUAUUGAGUAUCUGUACCACAUGUACAGGAUAGGUAGGAGCCUAUGACCUCGGGACGCCAGUUUCGAGUGAGGCGUUGUUGGGAUACUACCCUUGUGUUAUGGCUACUCUAACCCAGAUAGGUUAUCCCUAUCGGAGACAGUGUCUGACGGGCAGUUUGACUGGGGCGGUCGCCUCCUAAAAGGUAACGGAGGCGCCCAAAGGUUCCCUCAGAAUGGUUGGAAAUCAUUCGCAGAGUGUAAAGGUAUAAGGGAGCUUGACUGCGAGAGCUACAACUCGAGCAGGGACGAAAGUCGGGCUUAGUGAUCCGGUGGUUCCGUAUGGAAGGGCCAUCGCUCAACGGAUAAAAGCUACCCUGGGGAUAACAGGCUUAUCUCCCCCAAGAGUUCACAUCGACGGGGAGGUUUGGCACCUCGAUGUCGGCUCAUCGCAUCCUGGGGCUGUAGUCGGUCCCAAGGGUUGGGCUGUUCGCCCAUUAAAGCGGCACGCGAGCUGGGUUCAGAACGUCGUGAGACAGUUCGGUCCCUAUCCGUCGCGGGCGUAGGAAAUUUGAGAGGAUCUGCUCCUAGUACGAGAGGACCAGAGUGGACUUACCGCUGGUGUACCAGUUGUUCUGCCAAGAGCAUCGCUGGGUAGCUAUGUAGGGAAGGGAUAAACGCUGAAAGCAUCUAAGUGUGAAGCCCACCUCAAGAUGAGAUUUCCCAUGAUUUUAUAUCAGUAAGAGCCCUGAGAGAUGAUCAGGUUGAUAGGUUAGAAGUGGAAGUGUGGUGACACAUGUAGCGGACUAAUACUAAUAGCUCGAGGACUUAUCCAA
rnacentral:rRNA from 1 species